rnacentral:rRNA from 1 species
AAUAUUGGGCAAUGGGCGAAAGCCUGACCCAGCAACGCCGCGUGAAGGAAGAAGGUCUUCGGAUUGUAAACUUCUUUUAUGAGGGACGAAGGAAGUGACGGUACCUCAUGAAUAAGCCACGGCUAACUACGUGCCAGCAGCCGCGGUAAUACGUAGGUGGCAAGCGUUAUCCGGAUUUACUGGGUGUAAAGGGCGCGUAGGCGGGGAUGCAAGUCAGAUGUGAAAUCUAUGGGCUUAACUCAUAAACUGCAUUUGAAACUGUCGUUCUUGAGUACUGGAGAGGUUGACGGAAUUCCUAGUGUAGCGGUGAAAUGCGUAGAUAUUAGGAGGAACACCAGUGGCGAAGGCGGUCAACUGGACAGCAACUGACGCUGAGGCGCGAAAGCGUGGGGAGCAAA